rnacentral:tRNA from 1 species
GGCUUCGUAGCUCAACUGAAUAGAGUAUCACACUACGGAUGUGAGGGUUCCGGGUUUGAAUCCCGGCGAGGUCAC